CUGCUUCCUGGUCACUGGGAGCACUGGGAAGGGGCAGAUCCCCCCUCCGAUGCCCACCUUUCUGGCAGGCGGUGCGGCUGGAGUCGGCGCGGCCGCGGCGGGUGCGGUACCUGCUGGUGGUGCGGUCGGAGGAGGCGGGAGCCGAGGCAGAGACGGCGCUGCUGGGAGUGGAUUUUGCCCACGAAGGGGCCACCCUCUGCACCCUGGGCAUGGUGCUGCCCCUCUGGAGCGACACCCAGGUGUUCCUCGACGGCGACGGGUAAGGGAUGGGACAGAAUUUUGGGACAGGGAGGGGCUUAGAGGGGUCGGAGUGCUCACCCUGACCCACGUAUGUCCCCAUGAUGCCCAGGGGUUUCAGCGUGACAUCGGGGGGAGAGACACGCAUCUUCAAGCCCAUCUCUGUGCAGACCAUGUGGUGAGAGAAGCCUGGGUGUGGCCACGGGGGGUGUGAGCACAAGGGGGGUGGCACCACCUCGAGGACUGGGGACAUGGGCACUGCCAUGGGCACAGGGGAUCUCAGCUCCAUUACAGACACGGGAGAUGUGGCACUGUUACGAACACAGGUGAUGCUGUCACCAUCCUGGUGUCGCACUAUAUUAGGAACGACAAAGCACGACGCUGACUCUCUUCUGGGUUGCACAAGAGCGCAAGUUUUAUUAUUCCAGAUCUUCUUUUAUAGACAGGUCCAAGAGGUAAAACUCUCAUUGGUCAUUAAACCAACACAUCACCAUCACUGGUCAAUUGGGAACAACUCCCCUUGACUGUUUCUUACAAGGAAACUACAAGGAUCCAAACAAUACCUGCAAAUGUUUUCCUUCUCUAAGGACUGUUUGGAUUUCUCCAUACGAUUUCUCAGGCCAGAGUGAGAACUUUGUGUGACUUAGUUUCACACAGGCUCUGUGCUCCCCUGCCUGCUUUCUUACAAUCAGCAUCCAUAAUCCCGGGUGUGGGGAUGUGGGCACCACGCUGGACACAGGGAUGCGUGCACGGGGCAUUUGGCUAUCACCAUGGCCACCACCAUGGGCCCCUGGGCACAGUCAUGGGGAAGGAGCUGGGGAGAGUUUGGGUGGCACCCACAAGCUGGGGACAACCAGUGAGGGGGACAUAGGUGUCGGGGUGGUGGCGGGGUGGCGCUGG
rnacentral:lncRNA from 1 species